rnacentral:piRNA from 1 species
GNGAGAUUCAGUAUUGACACCUGGUGGACC